UACACAGGCCGACUCCACAUGCACUGUCCCCCUGGGGGCCUGCCAGCACUUGGCUGGCCAGACUCAAGGUUUCAACCCCUGCCUGCUACCCACUCUUCUAGGAAGGCCCACAUCCAUCACUCAGUAGCAAGGACCCACUGGAACCCGAACCCAGGGCUGAUGUUGCGCCUCAGUGGUCUAGAUGUUCCAUCUACAACCUGGCCAGAGACAGCGCAGGUGUCGUUACCUGCAUGAAAUCAGUACUGCCCCAGGCCACCGUGGACAGACCUGAUUAAAAAAAGCAGAGAGAAAGUUCUAACCACAGGUAUGCUCCCAGAUCACUGAUUAGCAGACCUAAAACAGAGUUCUCCAGUGAGGAAGGCGUUUGAUGUCCAGAAGCCAUUGCUAAUUUGUAGGAAAUGGCAAGUCCAGAGAAAUGUUGGAUUUACACCAAUUUCUGAUGAAACGCAGGUCACACUUGCUAGUUUGAACCCAGAAAGCACUAAAUCAUAUGGGGAAAUACAAUGACAUAAUUUACUCAGUACUCACAGUUUUAAGAAAUCAUGAAAUACUAUAAAGGAAGGGUUUUUAUAGAUAUUAAGGUUUCUGGGAGCACUGAAAAGACAUCUGUACAUUUUACACCAUAGUCUCCUGUUGAUGGUUCUAUGAACUUUUACUGUUUAUGUUUUUGCUGCAAGCAUUUUGCAUAUCUAAUUGACUAUAAGGCAAUUUUGCUAUAAAAGAUUAAAUAACCAAAAAUUAAAAGUUACAUUUAAAGGCACAUAAUGUGAAAUGAAUAACAAAAAAUAAAAAGUUUUUAUUGUGAAAUACAAAAUAUUUGAAUAAUUUAAAAUGCAUGUAGAGUCAUGGCAAUCAUGUAUAAAUGACCAAUUUUAUUUUGUGGGUUGCCUUCCACGUCUUUCCUUUGUAGUAUUUUAUACUUUUUUUUACUUGUUGAUUCAUCUUCUCAUUCAGCAUUGCACUUUUUCUUCUUUUGCUAAUAUUCUCUCUUUACUAGGAGGGCUAUCGGUUUCCCAGGACAGGGACGUGGUUUGUACCCGAGCCCUGCUGUGCACUCUUGGUUCACUGUCACUUGUCACACAUCCCCGUGACAACUCUGCUCCUUCGGAUCACCAGCGGAUUUGCAGAGCGAUGUGUCAUCAUUUUCUGGUAGAGGAUGCAGUGCGGCUCUGCGCUCUCAUUCCGGAUUUUGGUGAAAAAGCAUAAAUGAAACUGUAAAUGUAAGUCCUCGGCACAACCUCCAGGAUGUUGUCCCACAAGGUAUCAGCUGGCCUGCUUACCGGCUCUGUCGCCCGCACCGUUCAUGGAGGUCCCGUGCCAGCCCCGCAUCACUGCUGCCCUCGGUGUGAUCCUGUCAGACCCCUACUCAGCCUGGGGCCUCAACACUGUCUUCUCUGACCUUCCCCUAAAAUAAAGUCAGCUUCAGA